AACAAACGCUGGCGGCGUGUCUUAAGCAUGCAGGUUGAGCGGCAAGGAGGAGAGAUCCUCCCUAGAGCAGCGGACUGGUGAGUAACGCGUGGGUAAUCUAUCUUAGGCAUGGGGAUAGUCACUAGAAAUAGUGGGUAAUACCGAAUAAGUUCCAUAAGGGGAGGACUUAUGGAAGAAAGGUGCUACGGCACUGGCCUUAGGUGAGCUCGCGUCCCAUUAGCUAGUUGGUGAGGUAAAGGCCCACCAAGGCGAUGAUGGGUAGCCGGCCUGAGAGGGUGUACGGCCACACUGGGACUGAGAUACGGCCCAGACUCCUACGGGAGGCAGCAGCUAAGAAUAUUCCGCAAUGGACGGAAGUCUGACGGAGCGACGCCGCGUGGAUGAAGAAGGCCGAAAGGUUGUAAAGUUCUUUUGCUAGGGGAGAAUAAGUGUGGGAGGGAAUGCCUGCACGAUGACAAGGACUAGCGAAUAAGUCCCGGCCAACUACGUG
rnacentral:rRNA from 1 species